rnacentral:rRNA from 1 species
AUACGGAGGGUGCAAGCGUUAUUCGGAAUCACUGGGCGUAAAGGACGCGUAGGCGGGUUGGCAAGUCAGAUGUGAAAUCCUACAGCUUAACCGUAGAACUGCAUUUGAAACUGCUAACCUAGAGUAUGGGAGGGGGAGAUGGAAUUAGUGGUGUAGGGGUAAAAUCCGUAGAUAUCACUAGGAAUACCGAAAACGAAGGCGAUCUCCUGGAACAUAACUGACGCUAAGGCGUGAAAGCGUGGGGAGCAAACAGGAUUAGAUACCCUAGUAGUCC